UGGGGAAUAUUGCACAAUGGGGGAAACCCUGAUGCAGCGACGCCGCGUGAACGAAGAAGGUAUUCGUAUCGUAAAGUUCUGUCCUAUGGGAAGAUAAUGACAGUACCAUAGAAGAAAGCUCCGGCUAAAUACGUGCCAGCAGCCGCGGUAAUACGUAUGGAGCGAGCGUUGUCCGGAAUUAUUGGGCGUAAAGGGUACGCAGGCGGUUUAAUAAGUCGAAUGUUAAAGAUCGGGGCUCAACCCCGCAAAGCAUUGGAAACUGAUAAACUUGAGUAGUGGAGAGGAAAGUGGAAUUCCUAGUGUAGUGGUAAAAUACGUAGAUAUUAGGAGGAAUACCAGUAGCGAAGGCGACUUUCUGGACACAAACUGACGCUGAGGUACGAAAGCGUGGGGAGCAAACAGG
rnacentral:rRNA from 1 species